UACGUAGGUCCCGAGCGUUGCCCGGAUUUAUUGGGCGUAAAGCGAGCGCAGGUGGUUUAUUAAGUCUAGUGUAAAAGGCAGUGGCUCAACCAUUGUAUGCAUUGGAAACUGGUAGACUUGAGUGCAGGAGAGGAGAGUGGAAUUCCAUGUGUAGCGGUGAAAUGCGUAGAUAUAUGGAGGAACACCGGUGGCGAAAGCGGCUCUCUGGCCUGUAACUGACACUGAGGCUCGAAAGCGUGGGGAGCAAACAGG
rnacentral:rRNA from 1 species